UAAUGGGUGUGCACGUUUGUAACUUUCAUGUUAAGUAUCAGCUUCAUGAAAACAUGAUGAAACUUGUUGCAUGUUUCUGAGUGUUAGUUUUGUUGAAAGAGGAACCAUUCCUUCAGAUCUUGCCAGUGUUCCAAGUUGAUGAGGACAUGAUAAUAGGUUGUUCACUGAGCUAGGUUCAGAUUUAAGUUGUACUUAGCUUUCCACAUCUUUGUGGAGCUAGGCCUUACUAGUACAGUGCAGUGGCUUUAUCAGAUAUUUUAAGAUUGUGAGGCUGAGUGAAAUUUGCCAUAUUGUGCUGAGAUAGCUGUGGGUUGUGUAAUUUCAUCAUGUUUCUACAUUCACAGGAUGAUUCCCCAGGAGAGGGAGAUCUUCCCUUUCAGCUGAGCUCUCAGUCUUCCUCGUCACAUUCUCAGCUUACAGUGGAUUUGCCUGUUCACAUACUUCAGGAGCCACACAAUUCCACUGAAGAUGAUGCAGGUUCUGAUAACUCUCAGUUCACUGGAAGCACAAUAAAUUUACAGGAUCUGGAAUGACGAUUAUUAAGAACAGUUACUUGAAAACAAAUUGGGCAAUCAUGACAGAGUGAGAUUACUGUGUGGGUCUUUUUCCAAGGAAAAUAGGAAUGAAAAUGAAAAGUAGGAGAACUGAAAUAUGGUUGCACUCUUUGUGAUUUCCUUAAGACAGUUGCAGCUGAAAAAUUUUCUUUAAAAAUGUAAAUCCCACUUGAUGUGCCUGUGUAAGAUACCCUGUCUGCCUGGUGGUUGGGAGGCUGAGGCAGACUGCUGUACAGUGUUGUUUCAGGGAGAAGUACUUUAUUACACUUCAAACUGAGGUAAUAUUUACUGUUUUCACAGGAAAGCAAGUAUUCCACAGCUAACAAGUGCAAAUUUAUAAUCCUGCCUAUGACAGUUAAAACUUUCCUUCCACUGGUCUCGUGGAGCCAGUGGCAUCAAGGAAUUAAGAGCUAAAUUUUGCAAGUGUUUACCACACACAAAAAAAAGGAUUAUUUUGGCCCCUGUGUUUGGCAGAAAACCAGAAUAAAGUGUCAUAUGUAACAAAAUUAACCUUCUAUGCCAUGAAAAUGAAAUGCUCUAAAAUCUUUGUUUUAGAAAGCUAGAUUCUAAUGUUAACUUAGCUGUGAAUCAGUUUGUAGCUCAUGUUGAGUUUCUCCCUUUCCUUGCUCCUGCAUCCCAAAUAUUUUGCUGAAUUCUUCCAGCAAAACUUGAAAAUGAAAACUGCAAUAGAACUGUACUCACUGUAAGUGAUUAGCUAAGAGUCCAACAGCAUCUGAGAGAGGUUUGUUUUUGUGUUCCCUUUUUUCGGGAGGAAUGUUGACCGUCAUGUAAAUUUAAGCACCUUGAUUUUUAUCUCAUCUAUAAACCGCUGCCAAGUUACCUGUGAAAUGGUCACUACCUUUUUAUUUAGGGUUGUUUGGUGUUUUUGUUUUGUUAAUUGAACACUGCUAACACAUGUUCUUUAUUGCUGUCCCAGCGUCACAUGUACCUGGAGUUUCUGGCUGGUUUACAAAAUAUGCAGUUGUCAGAGUACUUUGUGAGGGGGAAACAGUUGUUGUCCAGGAAGAUUUGCCCCUGAAAAACUGCAGUUACUCUUGGGGGUGGGGGGAGAGGUUGUAUGUACUCUACUUACCUGGAUUGCAGACACCUAAAUAAGUAUAGGGUUGUAUAGGGGAAAAAACCACCUUUGGUUACGUUUUAAGGUAGUAAUUUAAAUGUUUCCUAUGGUGAUGUUCUGAAUGCCUGUAAAAGUAUGUAUAGGAGUUUGAUAAAAGGCUGUUUGUACUUUUUUUUUAUUCUCAGUGAGGUGUAUGUAUGCACGUAUGUGUAUUUUCUUUUUUUUUUUUUUUUUUUUUUUUUACAAAAUAAGAUAUGUCACAGAGAAGAACGUUGUGAUCUUUUUAAUCUUGCACAUAUUUAUUUAUUUUACAGUUAUACUGAUGUUAAAUUCACGAGGUCGUUCAGAAAUGCUUUUACUUCCUGUGCCUUUUGAACUAUGUAUGUGUCCAUAUAAAUGCAUUUUUGAUUGCAGACUUGGGGAGGAAAAAAGCAUACAGGUUACAAUGAACUUCAGCUCCUUAUUUGUAGGCAGUAUUAUAUCUCUGGUUGAACCAGCUUUAUUUUUCUAUCUUUAGCCUAACUGAGCAUUGAGAUCUCUCUGUUCCUCUCACUCUGAGUUUACAGCUUAUAUCCAGGGAAAGUCUGAACCCUCUCAGGCUGGAUUUUCAAACCAGUUGGUAGCUGAGGUCUGCCUGGUGGCUGUGACUGCAGCAUGGAGUCCAUUCCUGAGAGGUGGAAAGAUUGAGGAGGAACUGUGCUGAAGGGAUUUGCUCUAGUGGUCACCCUGGAAGCUGAGACACCUCGAGCUCCCAACACCUGCAUUAUUCUGUUCUCAAGGACCAUACCAGUUUGUAAUCCAUUAAAAUGGCCAAGGAACACUCCAUCUUUUUAUGGGACUUGCAACCAAAUCUUUCUACUUCUGAAAAUGUACCUCACUCAGCUUUGUAAGUGAAUGUAAAGUGCUAACCUCUUGAGGGCAGAAACUUGGAUCACUUGGCUUGGGCUCUAUUGCUGGCAAUGGAUACCUGAAGAACUGCUGGUGCAAAAGGGUUAAUAAAGCUUUUUUUUUAUUGUCA